UUUGCACAGCUUUUAACUUGCAGCAAGUUACUUACUUGAUGCUAUUAGCUUGUGCAAACAUUGAAUCCAACUUGUCGCCUUUGCCAGGAGAUUAGUGCUUGUCAAAGUGAAUCAAGGAUGGAACACUA